rnacentral:rRNA from 1 species
CCUAUGGGGGGCAGCAGGCGCGAAACCUCCUCAAUACACUAACGUGUGAAGGGGUUACCUCGAGUGCCACCUGAAGAAGGUGGCUUUUCCGUGGUCUAAAAAGCCUAGGGAAUAAGAGGGGGGCAAGACUGGUGUCAGCCGCCGCGGUAACACCAGCCCCUCGAGUGGUGUGGAUGAUUAUUUGGCCUAAAGCGUCCGUAGCCGGCCGGGUAAGUUUCCCGUUAAAUCCAACGUCUCAAGCGUUGGACUGCGGGAAAUACUGCCUGGCUAGAGAGUGGGAGAGGUCAGCGGUAUUCUGGGGGUAGGGGCGAAAUCCUUUGAUCCCCGGAGGACCACCAGUGGCGAAGGCUGCUGACUAGAACACGUCUGACGGUCAGGGACGAAAGCUGGGGUAGCGAACCGGAUUAGAUACCCCCGUAGUCC